UACGUAGGUGGCAAGCGUUGUCCGGAUUUAUUGGGUUUAAAGGGUGCGUAGGCGGUCUAUUAAGUCAGUGCUGAAAUAUCCCGGCUUAACCGGGAGGGUGGCAUUGAUACUGAUGGACUUGAGUUCAGUCGAGGUAGGCGGAAUUGACGGUGUAGCGGUGAAAUGCUUAGAUAUCGUCAAGAACACCGAUAGUGUAGACAGCUUACUAGGCUGAAACUGACGCUGAGGCACGAAAGUGUGGGGAUCAAACAGG
rnacentral:rRNA from 1 species